UUUUUAGCAUAAGUAUAUCCCAUGCAAUAUUUGAGACAUACUUACACUAACA
rfam:Macaca mulatta chromosome 8, whole genome shotgun sequence.